AUUUGGAACCAAUUCGAUACGGCUUUUCCCAAUCCUGACAGCUAUACUAGCGCACGAUCGUGCUGCGGCUCAACUUGGAACUAAUCAGACUGGUAAAUCAAAAUCCAUCGUCAAUCAAAAUCGGAUCA